AUAGGCUAGACUUCUGCUCCUUCCUCUUUGGUCUUCAUCUAAUACUAAAAGGCUAUGUUUGUUAGACAGAGGACAGAAAUCCUGAUUAGCUCAUGUUGUCUGCCUCUUUUGAUAACAGGUACUUCUCUUGUGUGAUGAUAAAUGUGCCAUGAAGAUGGGGCAUUUGAGGACAAUACUUUAGAGAACUGGAGUAUAGACACAGAAGCAAAGUAUAGAAGAAUGCACUGGUAGCAGAAGAAAACUGGGUUUUCAGCUGUAUUUCUGGAAAGUGUUGCUUCGGGACAAUAGGAUUCUGCCAUGGUUUUGGUUCAAGUUUAACUGAAAUUACAUUGUCUCUUCAGUACAAAAGGAACGUCUGUUAUUGGUCUUGCACAGUAUAAAAGGUGUUUAGCAAGAGAAAGAGUAAUUUCAACUAUCGUCAUACAAAAGUGUUUAUGUGGAUGUCCUGGAAAACUCUUUUGGCUGUUUACUCAAUCAGCUUCAAAGUAGUUGCUUGAUUUUUACCCACUCUGUCCGAGAAAUACAAAAAAUCUAUUGUAUACAAAUCAAAGCAGAGACCCUGCACUGGCAGAAGCUGAAGCACAAGAAGUUCCUCCUGAAUAUGAUGAAGAACUCCCGUCAGUGCAGGCAACUGAGCGCUGGCACAGAUUGCCCAG